GACGGAGGGAGCAAGCGUUGUCCGGAUUUACUGGGCGUAAAGCGCGCGUAGGCGGCCUUUUAAGUCGGCGGUGAAAUUGCGGGGCUUAACCCCGCAACUGCCGUCGAUACUGAUCGGCUCGAGUUCGGGAGAGGGAAGCGGAAUAUCUGGUGUAGCGGUGGAAUGCGUAGAUAUCAGAUAGAACACCGGUGGCGAAGGCGGCUUCCUGGACCGAUACUGACGCUGAGGCGCGAAAGCUAGGGUAGCGAACGGG
rnacentral:rRNA from 1 species